rnacentral:misc_RNA from 1 species
UAAGGCUAAGGGUCGUGCUGCUGCUGACAAGGAUAAGGGUACAAAGUUCACUGCUGAGGAGGUCAUGCAGACUAUUGAUUAGAUUUAAAGUCAUCUUUCUUCUAUCUCUGCUGAAGAGAGGUUAUAUCAGUACGUUUUUGGUUUAUUAGGGUUUUUGACAUCUCUGAAUUUUUGGGUUUAUUUGAUGUUAUAAUUGAAUGUUGCUGAAAGUUGUUAAUUUUGGG